rnacentral:lncRNA from 1 species
UCUUAAACAUGAACGCAAAGUUUGACUUGUGGCUUCUAAAGGCCGUAUUGCAGCGGGCGACGGGCAAAGAACGGCUCCCUGUCGGGGCAGAGGCUCCGUUGCUCUGCCGCGACGAGUGCUUCCAAGCGCCCUCCGGCUGCUCUGCGGAGGCGGGACGGGCCUUCCCGGGAAACCCAGCAGUGGCACGCAAGGCCUGGCCCACCGAAUAGCCCAGAUACCCCCCCGCUGCAGCCCUGAGGCUCGACUUAUCCCAGGGAUCUGCCCGACCCGACACGGCUCUGAUCAGCCAGACACAAACCGGGCCAAGCACCCCCGCAGGAUCUACGCGCUCCCAAAGAUAGCGCAACACCGCGCACCUGCGGGCACCAGCGGCUCGUGCGCACUUGGCCGCUCGCUAGCGUGGCCCCGCCCCGCGGCACGCGGAUUGGUGAGCGCCGCCGUGCGGAGCGGCGGUUGGCUGGUGGGCCCAUCAGUCCGGCACGCCCCGGCCCCUCUCUUGGAUCCCCCCCCCCUCGCCGGUUUGGGCCUCGUUCUCAGUGGCUGUAGCGGGCGGGCUGCGGUUGCUUCCUGCUGCCGGGGCGUCGGUAUCGAGAAGGUUCGCGGGUGUCGCCUGGGCCGCAGCCUCCGGGACAGGAAUGCCAUGCUUGUAAACGAGAUAAAACUACUCUGUGGUCAGAGAUAUUGAGUCUGAGCAAUGGCCUAAUGAAGAUGUGCAGCAAAAUGGGUUGAAUGAGUGCAGAACUGCCUUAUUCUGUGUCAAUAGACAACCUCCAUGAGCUGCUUUUGUAAGGGUGACUCCUGCAGAAUAUCA